UACGGGGGGGGGCAAGCGUUGUUCGGAAUUACUGGGCGUAAAGGGCUCGUAGGCGGCCAACUAAGUCAGACGUGAAAUCCCUCGGCUUAACCGGGGAACUGCGUCUGAUACUGGAUGGCUAGAGGUUGGGAGAGGGAUGCGGAAUUCCAGGUGUAGCGGUGAAAUGCGUAGAUAUCUGGAGGAACACCGGUGGCGAAGGCGGGUCUCUGGGCCGUAACUGACGCUGAGGAGCGAAAGCAUGGGGAGCGAAACGGG
rnacentral:rRNA from 1 species